GUUUGAGGAAAAUUCUGUGUUCACUUGAAUCACAACACUCAAUGAAUACAUUUUAUUUUUAACAAUUUCACUGUUCUACAUUUGGCUGAUAAUGUUUUCCCCCCACAGCAUAGCUACUGUAUAUUCCUAACGUUAACAAUCCGGUUUUGUUCAUGUUUUCUUGCAGAUACCUUGGCCAGAGCGUAACCGGUUAUCUUCACCCAAGAGACCUACUGUUGGUCAAUUGUUUUGGCUUUAAAGAAGUUGCAUCAAUUCCAGAAAACCAGGAAAAUGUUGAGCCAUCUGUAGACUUCAGAGCUGAACCAGGUUUCUCCCCAGUAAUCCAGACUCCACUUCAUAGAGCCAAGAGUUUGAGUGCAACUCGUCAAGUACUAAGCUUUACACCCCCAGCAGCAAAUUUACCCUGGCAGCAUAUGGGUGAAAACGCUGGAGGUAUGUAAUACAUUUAAGUCAAAUUCAUUAAAUGUAUACAAUUACUUCAAACAUAUUUUUACGUCAAUGAUUAUCAAUAGGAGAAAGUAAUCGCUUUGUUAUUGGCCCUUGGACGCCCCUGGCAUCUCGUGUACAGCACAAAGUUUUCAGCUAUGAAGAUUUCCAGAGACUCCAGAAUGAAAACCAAGCCCUGAGGGAGGAGAACCAAGCCCUGAGGGAAUGCAAUGCACAAGCAGCUUCGGAUGACAGCCGCUCACUUCAAGAGCAGGUGAAGCAAGUAGGGACAAUGUUGAAGACGUUUGCUCUAACUGGGCAAUCAGGUGCGUUACCUGAAAGGAGCAUCUGACCUUGAAGGCAGAAAAAGGUGCCUUAAACCUAGGCUGACUACUGACACCCCAGCAUCACUGAACUGGAACACUUUCUUUAUCCUGCAGUCAGUAACUUCAAGAAGCCAGAAGUGCCAGAAUACACUCACCAAAUCCACCCUGUUCACUGUGGAUUUUUUAUUUAUUUUUGUAUUUUAACUUUAGUAUUGGCUUUUUUCAUUCCGUCAGUGCUUAACGAUUCUAUAAUAGUUUGUAAAUCCUAUUUCAUACCUGUUACUUGAUAUUGCACAUUAACUGGUACCAACAUUCUACUUUCAUUCCAUCAGUGUGCUUAACUGUUAUUCUAUUAAUAAUAGCUUGGAAAUACUAUUUCAUACCACUGAUACUUGAUAUUGCACAUUACCUGGUACCAAAUAUUCUACUUACUCUGUUUUUAACAUCAGCAUUUUUCAUUCCGCUUAACUGUUAUUCUGUUGUUAAAUAUAGCUUGUAAAUCCAUGUGCCACAGGUCAGCAUUGCAGUUAUAAUGGUCUGUUCUCCUACUGUUUGUACCUCCGUAUUUUUAUAUAAAUAUAUAUGUCAAG
ensembl:lncRNA